rnacentral:rRNA from 1 species
AACGAACGUUGGCGGCAUGCCUAACACAUGCAAGUCGAACGAGACCUUCGGGUCUAGUGGCGCACGGGUGCGUAACGCGUGGGAACCUGCCCUUAGGUUCGGAAUAACUCCCCGAAAGGGGUGCUAAUACCGGAUAAUGUCUUCGGACCAAAGAUUUAUCGCCUUUGGAUGGGCCCGCGUUGGAUUAGCUCGUUGGUAGGGUAAAAGCCUACCAAGGCGACGAUCCAUAGCUGGUCUGAGAGGAUGAUCAGCCACACUGGGACUGAGACACGGCCCAGACUCCUACGGGAGGCAGCAGUGGGGAAUAUUGGACAAUGGGCGAAAGCCUGAUCCAGCAAUGCCGCGUGAGUGAUGAAGGCCUUAGGGUUGUAAAGCUCUUUUACCCGGGAUUAUAAUGACAGUACCGGGAGAAUAAGCUCCGGCUAACUCCGUG